rnacentral:lncRNA from 1 species
UUUUAUCUUCUAAUGCAUAGCAAUGCCUUGUAUAUCUCAACUUUUGAUUAUAUUUUCUUUGUCUCAAAGGAAUUGCCUAUGACUGUCUGAUGCUGAAACACCAGUGCAUCUGUGGCAAUUCCACCACCCACCCUGAGCAUGCUGGGCGAAUACAGAGCAUCUGGUCACGGCUGCAAGAAACCGGGCUGCUAAAUAAAUGUGAGCGAAUUCAAGGUCGAAAAGCCAGCCUGGAGGAAAUUCAGCUUGUUCAUUCUGAACAUCACUCACUACUGUAUGGCACCAGCCCCCUGGACGGACAGAAGCUGGACCCCAGGACACUCCUAGGUGAUGAUUCUCGAAAAUUCUUUUCCUCGUUACCUUGUGGUGGACUCGGGGUAAGGAUGAUUUGUUUGCUGCUUUUAAAGUUACACAAACUUACAGAAACUCUCCCUUGGUUUAUCUCUGGAGUUGUGUUGGGGACUGUUUUUCAGAAAGGGCUGUGUGAUCCUAGUGUGAGUGCCUACUCUAAAGCUUCCUGUUUAAAACAGAUUUAAGAAUUUUUUGAUGAUGACGACAUAGAGCUAUGCCAACUGCGAGGCCUUGCCAUUUGAGCUGUGUGCUAAGGCACUCAUUCCUUGCGUUCAGCAUUCUUAGGCUUUUGUAUGGCUAGAGAAAGGUUCUUAGGAGAGAUUUUUUAAGUAUUUUUGCAGCACAACUCGAUUUUCCAUAGAAUUUCACCAGUAGGGCACAUACAUGAUAUAGCUGGCGAAAGUGGAAC